rnacentral:rRNA from 1 species
AUUGAACGCUGGCGGCAGGCCUAACACAUGCAAGUCGAGCGGAUGAAGGGAGCUUGCUCCUGGAUUCAGCGGCGGACGGGUGAGUAAUGCCUAGGAAUCUGCCUGGUAGUGGGGGAUAACGUCCGGAAACGGGCGCUAAUACCGCAUACGUCCUGAGGGAGAAAGUGGGGGAUCUUCGGACCUCACGCUAUCAGAUGAGCCUAGGUCGGAUUAGCUAGUUGGUGGGGUAAAGGCCUACCAAGGCGGCGAUCCGUAACUGGUCUGAGAGGAUGAUCAGUCACACUGGAACUGAGACACGGUCCAGACUCCUACGGGAGGCAGCAGUGGGGAAUAUUGGACAAAGGGCGAAAGCCUGAUCCAGCCAUGCCGCGUGUGUGAAGAAGGUCUUCGGAUUGUAAAGCACUUUAAGUUGGGAGGAAGGGCAGUAAGUUAAUACCUUGCUGUUUUGACGUUACCAACAGAAUAAGCACCGGCUAACUUCGUG